rnacentral:lncRNA from 1 species
UCCAAUGGUUGUUUUAAUUUAUUAAACAUGAUUUUUUAAUCUUUAUUUUAAGCUUCUUUUAGCCUUGCAUCUCCAGUUUGGAAAUUCAUAUUAAACUUUAUUGGAACAGGACGUGAGUACAGUGUGUUGCUGAGAAGUUGGACUGUUCUUUAUAAUAGUCUUCUAAGAUGAAACUCAUGUCCCAGAUGGAAUUUCGAAUGUAGAAAUCUUUAAGGGGCAUUACAAUUCUGCAUACCCAGCUGUCUCACCACCAUCGCAAACCAAACAACUCAAGUCAUCUCCACCAUGGUAUCUGAAAUGCCUUCAAGAGGGAAUGCUGAUGUCACAGAUUACCUUCUGGAGAGCAAGAAUUCAUCGGGUGAGGAUGCUCUUGGGGGUCCGGUGAGC